ACUGUCCUAGGGGGUGGGGGCACAGAGAGGUGACAUGGUGAACACUGCCCAAAGAUGCACUUAGCCCAGCACCAAACUCCAUUAAGUCCUCCAGACACAUGCCACUGGCCAAGGUGUGAUGUAGAACCCACGAGAACUCUCCAGUCCUCUUGUAAAAGCAAUGCCUGGCCAAGAGGCCAAACAUCACCACCACAUACAGAAAGGAAGGAAGAAGUGAAGACAGAGAGGAAGAGGACCGUGAGGGCGCAGCAUAAAUGAAUCUCCCAAGCCAUAGGGGAAAACCCAGCCAUGCCUGCAGGAAGGGAGAACUGAAGCCUGGUGCCAGCCAAAGGAGGGACCUGCCAUGCAUGAGAGAUUUCACACAGCUCUGGCAAUACCCAAGUAAGGCCACCUUUCAGGACAGACUAGAGUCGAGACGAUGAAGGAGCCCCUCAGCCACGCUCUUUUUUCAGCCAUCCUCAACCAUCAAGCCACCCAGUCUCCUGAAGGGACAGCAGAGCUCCCAACAGUCACCAACUUCAGCUGCAGGGCUGUCUCAGCCUGAAAUCCCCUGCUGUCACCAGCCCAAGUCACAACCCUACUCACUCCAAACCCUGCUCAGGCCCCUGGAAGAAGUGGCUGAGAUGAUAUUCCUUAGCAGAUGGCUCCUGCCUUUGUCAGAGCUACGCCACUCAUCACCGCCAAAGGGUAUCAGAAGGUGACCCUGGCUUAGAGAAGAACAUCAGCUGUUCACCAAGGUCAUCGAAAUGCAUAUUGUGAAUCCUCCACAAUUUUCAGGCUAAAAUUAUUUUAUUGGAGAUUAAGAACAAUGUCUAAAAAAAAUAGUUAAAACUGGCCUUAGCCUGACUCCAGAUAGCAUCUCAAGAGAAUGUGCAUAUUAAAUUAUAGAUUACUGUC